UCCCCAAUGGUCCAGUGGUUAAGACUCUGUGCUUCCAAUGCAGGGGUCAUGGGUUUGAUUCCUGGUUAGGGAA
rnacentral:tRNA from 1 species